UAUUCCGUUUGUUCAACAGGGAGACAGUGGAUGACAUCCCAACCACCCUACCUCGACAGCUAACCCCACGUCGACAGAAUGGAAGACAACUGGAAAGAAGGUUUUGGAAGCAACUAAAGAGACGAAGAAGUGGGGCUAAUGCAGUUAUAUCAUCUCCACCCCAGGUUGCAGCUUGAACUGCUACAUCAGUCCCAAAGUUCCAUCAUUUCUCACUAUGCUUUUACUGCUCAGUCUGAUGCAGCAUGUUCAUUAAACAUAUUAAAAAAUGAAAACAAUUCAGAUGUCAUUACUUCCCAAUAGAUGUCAUAAAUAUAUAGUUUAUGUUAAACACUGAAAAAACAUUAUUAUGGUGUCACCCCAUGUUCCAAAUUUUAGAUCUUCUUAACAUGGAAAUGGAGAAGUAACAGAUGAUAUAAUUGAAGUGUUGUUACUCAUCAAAAGAAGACCUGUUCAAUAUUAAUGAUGAAGUGACUCGGAAGAUUUCAAAGGAGAGCAGGCCUAGAUAUUGCUGUAAGUUACACCAGUUACUGCGGAUUCAACUGACAUUGAAGUAGAAACCUGUGAUGGAUGACUUUCUAAAGCAUAGAAAGUAUUAUGGAGGAAAAAGGUAAUUGUACAUUGUAUGUAUUCAGUGGGCAGGUUAUGUUAGGUAUCUGCCUAAUACUGCAGUAAAUGUUGUAACUUUGACACCUAAGUCCCAAUAAGUGCGGUACAAAAUAUUUCAAAGGAAACUGAAUCAUGUAAGUGCCAAAGUUACUGCAUAACUACAAAAUGCUUUUGACGAAAUGACAAACGUAGGGAUGGCAUAAUAAAAAGUGAGAUAAAUUUUCAACAUUAAAUUUUAUACUAAAAAUGUAAUUAUACAUGUCAUAAUUCUUUUCUUUGUAUUACCUUUUUUUGGAACAUGAAUUCAAUGUUCAUUUGUACUGUUUAUUCCCUUUGUUGAAUACUUAUUACAGCUAUUAAAUUCCAGGUAUGGAUCUAAAAUUAAAAAGCUACGAACUAAUGUUAAUUAACUAAUUGCACAUUCAUUGGCAAUUUUAUUUACCGAUGAAUACUUCAGAGAAUACCAAAUAUUAAAUGAGCAUGUGUACAAAACACUAUUUUUACCAUUUUGAAGCCUAUUUUCAGAUUGGCUCUUUAUUUAUCCUUUAUCAUUUGUGCAUCACACUGUCCAGCACAUUCCAACUGGGUGUGUGUUACCCUAGCAUGGCCCUAAAACAUCCCUCUAGAGUAAUUUUUUAGUUCACUGUACUUUCGUUCACUGCAUUCCAUAAUAUUUUCCAGCUGUAAUUUAUUCAUAAUUAUCAGCUAUAAAAGUUCCAGUCACAUGGUCAUGAUAUUGACACACAUUCAAGGUCUUGCCAGUAGCAUCUAAAUGCAAGUCAUAAGGAAUACCAAAAAAAUGCCAACAUUUCUGUCACAUGUUUGUAAAUUUGUUAGUGGUGAGAGGAUGAUUAUGUUCAAUGGGUGGUAGAACAGAGCACUAAUAGAAGUUUUAAAUACAGAAACUAACCUUCAUUAUGUAUUUUCAGUUUGCUGCAUCAAGUGUUUAUAGUUUGCCGGCACCGACAUGAAGACGAGGUAGCAGUUGUAGGAAGGGGGGAAGGGAGGGGAGAGCAAGGCCAGACUAUUUUUUGAAGUUCUGAAUACAGACACUGACAUACAUUUUCUACUUGUGCUAGUGGAAACCAGUAGAAUAUUGUAUUUCCAUCAACAGGAAGUUAUGUUGUCACAAUGGCAUGAAUUUUGAGAAAUAAAAUAAGAACUGCACGAGCUAAUUUUGGAGACUGGCUCUGAUGAAUCAAUCUCAUCUGAUAUGGAAAGUGACUUUCAUAAAGACACUGUGGCAGCUGGUGAGAGCAGUAAUGUAGCAAAGUCUGAAUAUUUGGUAAUGACAGUAACAAAUCAAAAUUGAGUCUACCUUUCUCCUCUCUAAUAAGAUGGAAAGGUGUACUCUUUGGAGUACACUGACAUUCCAGAAGUGUUCUUCACAUAGAUCAUUGAACAAUGUGUUUUGAUAAUGUUCUUGUGGCAUUGUUGCACUCUUUUAAUCAAAGGUCAGUAUUCCUCUACAGUGUGUUCCAGCAAUGACCUGUUCCCAUUGUUGUGCAAUGUUUUAGGCCACUGUUGCAUUGUGGUUCAGUAAUAUUGUUGCACAAUGUGCUCCAAUGAUCUUUCCUCCCAUUUAUGUGCAACAGUGCAUUCCAACAAUGAAACAAUGCCUCUCAUUACUGUGCAACAGUGAACCUGUUCAUGUAGGUUGCUCAUCAGGUGUUCUUCACUCACAUCAGAGCAUGAUGAACACCUAAAAAUGUCAAGAUUUAAAUACUGAAAACUAAAAUUAUGCCGGUUAUUUGCUACGGGGGUUAAACUUUGUCACACAUUAAGGGAACAGAUUGAGGGGUACUGAGAGAAGUCCUUGGACCUUAGAUAUAGCAAGUGACAGGAGGCUGGAAAAAAUGUUGAGAAGCUUCAUGAUUUUUCACCAGGUAUCAGAGGAACAGGAUGGAUGGUACAUCUGUGUGUAGAUAAACUGUCAUAUUAAAAUGGGUCUUGGAAAAGCAGGGUGGAACAAUCAGGAACAUAAUCUUCUGGCUCAGGAUAGGGACAAGUGGCAGUAUUUUGUGAAUAUGGUAAUGAACAGUGAAAUUUCAGGUUCUUGUUGGUAUAAGUAUGAAGUCUUCUGGAAUGUUGCUCCAUAUAGUCUGGUAGAAAUGCACCAAUGUUUCAGAGGUACUUACUGGCUCAGUCAUCAGGGUGAUGAGUCUGGAUGAUGGAGGUAGUAAGCACCUCCAAAAUAUCAGGUAGGGAAAUUCUCGACUAACUCUGGGACUUUUAAUUUCUCAAGGACUCUGCUCCAUGGAGUUAUGAGGCUUAAUUUCGUACAUUAUACUAAAAUAUUAAGAAAGUAUUUAGGAAUACCUUAUCUGAUCAGUACAGAACAUGAGAUAUGUAAAUUUUGAACAAACUGCCAACCCUAGUUAAUUCAAACAAAAACUGUUGCUGAAUUUGCCAUUGUUACUAAUCCGUGCCUGUUAAUGCCAUCACAUGUUCUUACAAAGUUCCUUUGUAUUCACAACAUGUAUUUCUGCCUGCUAUACCAUCUCUCUACACAUUUUUAUAUAAAGAUGUGUUUGCAACUUUUAUUUUUUAAAAUGCGGUGCCAAAAGUUGAUCAUGUCGUGAAACACAUAUAAGAACAAAAUAAUUACUAUUACUGUUCAUCACAUACAAAUACAGUACCACACUGUCAGUGUGCUACAUGACAUGGAAAUGUUUGUUCUUGUUAUAAAUUAUGUACAUAAAUCUAGAUCAUACAAUAAAUAAGUUGUGCACGUU